rnacentral:lncRNA from 1 species
GGACAUCUAGGUUCCGUAGUCUUCCUAGGCAUGGUGAUUCUGACAUACACCAACCUCCAUGUUUGUUUCCUUAACUAUCCUAUUUAUUGGGUUCUCUGGUUUCUCCUUAAAUCAAUGCUAUAUUUUUCCUCCCUUGAAGCCGAUGCUCCUGUAUGGGUCUCCCAAGCCAUAGCUUCGUCUCUGCCUCAACUGGGUUUGUUGAUGAGGUUCUGGAUUUGUUGAAAUGCUUUAGUUUCUGUGGUCUACCUCCUUCUUGGUGAUCUUGCUACGCCCGAGGUGCCCAAAUGUUGGCUGGGUGAGUGCAUCCUUAGCUAAUCAGCUCUUAUCCCUUUCUAUUAACGAAUUUUUUUCUUUAAAAAAAAUUGUAAUGCACAGCAUGUAAACAAAAAUCUUCCGGAAUGUGCAGUUAUUUUAUGUACUUAGAGAGGAAAUUCAGAUGAUGAUUCAUGCAUCUAAAAAUACAAAGGAUCAAGAGCCUCAUUUGUACUCAUAGUUGUUACCCUUUAUAGAUGCAUAUCAUUUUCGAAAAUUUCAAAUUUCACACUAGGAAAAGGUAAGAAAAGAAAUCUUUCACACUAGAAAAAGGAAGUCAUAAACAGAAACUGCAUGAAUAUUUACAAAAAACCUUACACGCACUAAGAUAUACAUAUAUAAGGCUAUGAUUCUCAAAUUCAUCACAUGUAAGAAAUUUCUGAAUACAGAUGGGGUAAAUUUAGAAAG